rnacentral:rRNA from 1 species
UGGUGGUAAGUGGCGAACGGGUGAGUAAUACAUCGGAACGUGCCCAGUCGUGGGGGAUAACGUAGCGAAAGCUACGCUAAUACCGCAUACGAACUCAGGUUGAAAGCGGGGGAUCGCAAGACCUCGCGCGAUUGGAGCGGCCGAUGGCAGAUUAGGUAGUUGGUGGGGUAAAGGCCUACCAAGCCGACGAUCUGUAGCUGGUCUGAGAGGACGACCAGCCACACUGGGACUGAGACACGGCCCAGACUCCUACGGGAGGCAGCAGUGGGGAAUUUUGGAUAAUGGGCGCAAGCCUGAUCCAGCCAUUCCGCGUGCAGGAUGAAGGCCCUCGGGUUGUAAACUGCUUUUGGACGGAACGAAAAGGCUCUUUCUAAUACAAGGAGCUCAUGACGGUACCGUCAGAAUAAGCACCGGCUAACUACGUGCCAGCAGCCGCGGUAAUACGUAGGGUGCAAGCGUUAAUCGGAAUUACUGGGCGUAAAGCGUGCGCAGGCGGUGAUGUAAGACAGAUGUGAAAUCCCCGGGCUC